rnacentral:rRNA from 1 species
GAAACGCGUUGUAUUAGCAACGACAAAGAUCUCUUCGCCGCUGCCACACGGGUGUGCAUCGAAGAUGGAAACAAAGCUAAGUUUUGGGUAUCUCCAUGGCUGGACGGCCUCCGGCCUAAAGACAUUGUACCAAAGAUUUUUGAGUUGUCAAAAAAGAAAACGUGCCUGGUCAGGAAAGCUUUUAACAAUAACCUUUGGAUCCGCCAUAUUGACACUCAGCAGGGGCUAACCUUGGCCCAUAUUCAGGAAUUUGCAACCCUGUGGGGGAUGCUUGCUGAUGUAACCCUUAACCAGGGAAGCCAAGACACCAUAACUUGGAAGUUCACAAUCAGUAGCGAGUACUCCGCCUCCUCGGCUUACAUGACGCAAUUUGCCGGUCUCUUCUUUUGUCCAAUGAAUGCUACAAUCUGGAAGAUGUGGGCUCCACCGAAGUGCAAAUUUUUUGCUUGGUUGAUCUUCCAAAAUCGUGUUUGGACAGCUGAUCGUUUACUGUGGCGGGGCUGGCCAAGUUGCAAUUUGUGCCCUCUCUCCAAGCAAGUUCAAGAAUCUGCUGCUCACCUCCUAUUCCAAUAUAGGUUCAUUGUCCUGAUUUGUACUGAAAUUUGCACUUGGCUUGGCAUCCUUGACUCCUCACCAAUAAUUUGGCAUCAUGAAGACUCAGUUAGAGAUUGGUGGAUCAAGGCGGUUAAUGGUGGAGGUGGCUGCAGGAAGGCCAUCGCCUCCUUGAUGAUGCUUAUCUCGUGGGAAAUUUGGAAAGAGCGCAACGCAAGAAUUUUUCAAAAUGUCUCUGCCCCGACCUCCAUUGUUAUCGCAAAAGUCAAAGAGGAGGCCCAUCUCUGGUCCUUGGCGGGAGCCAAACAGCUUAGUACUAUUAUGUCGCGAGAGUAG